rnacentral:lncRNA from 1 species
AAAAUCCUUGUCAGAGGAAGUUUAUCCUACUGUUCAGCCUGAUGAUUUUUUUGCUUAAUUUUAGCCCCUUGUGCCUGGAGAGACGAAUGGAAACUUUACAGGGCACCAGGUGCAGGCACCACAGAAAACAUGAAUCAUUCCAAGGCCGGAUCAUUCUUCCUUUUUUUCCCAAGGAACACAGAGGGGGGCUUAUAUUAAGCCGUUUCAGAGGACCAAGUUGUUGCUACUGUGCAGAAAGAUUCAUAAUAAUGAAAUAG